UGCCCCAGUAACGGCGAGUGAAGCGGCAAGAGCUCAAAUUUGAAAGCUGGCCCCCUCGGGGUCCGCAUUGUAAUUUGCAGAGGAUGCUUCGGGAGUGGCCCCCAUCUAAGUGCUCUGGAACGGGCCGUCAUAGAGGGUGAGAAUCCCGUAUGGGAUGGGGUGUCCGCGACCAUGUGAAGCUCCUUCGACGAGUCGAGUUGUUUGGGAAUGCAGCUCUAAAUGGGUGGUAAAUUUCAUCUAAAGCUAAAUAUUGGCCGGAGACCGAUAGCGCACAAGUAGAGUGAUCGAAAGAUGAAAAGCACUUUGAAAAGAGAGUUAAAAAGCACGUGAAAUUGUUGAAAGGGAAGCGCUUGCGACCAGACUCGCCUACGGGGUUCAGCCGGUAUUCGUACCGGUGUACUUCCCCGUGGGCGGGCCAGCGUCGGUUUGGGCGGCCGGUCAAAGGCCCUCGGAAUGUAACGCCUCUCGGGGCGUCUUAUAGCCGAGGGUGCCAUGCGGCCAGCCCGGACCGAGGAACGCGCUUCGGCACGGACGCUGGCAUAAUGGUCGUAAGCGACCCGUCUUGAAACACGGACCAAGGAGUCUAACAUCUACGCGAGUGUUCGGGUGUCAAACCCGUGCGCG
rnacentral:rRNA from 1 species